rnacentral:sRNA from 1 species
AACCCUCUCUCAAGGUUGGCAAGGACUUGUUGAAUGCCCGGGCGUAUGCUUGAACAACCUGCAUCUGCAGGCAAUUGGCUGUUCUUUCUUUCACAAAAGAGCAUGGAAAUGUACUUUUCUGAGUUUGCUAUUUAUCAAUUUGUUGACAAACUUGUGUCUUAGAUAGAUCUUUUGAUCACUGUGUGAUGUCUUUCCAAAACUGUUAUCGGCUAAUUUGUCAGUGACCAGAUCGAAAAUCUUCCAAAAACUCUUGAUGUGACAGCUGCUCUCUGUGAUUGUGUAUGCAUGACUCAUGUUUCUAGAUUCUGCUGGGGUUUAUAUCAGCAAGGUGUUGAAUUGCCGUUCUGUAUAGUUCUGGAUUGGAGAUGAACUGUUUCUGUCUAUGAUAAGACAGUCAGAGCAUGAUGUUCUUGCCUAAACAUAUAGUUGAAAUAUUCACAGUUGAUAUAGAAAGGCAAUUCUCCAUAGAGGAAACAGGGAAAUUGGUCCUAGUUUUUGCUUGCACAAUGCUGCGCUAAUGCGAGGGGAUAUAGAUAGAUCCUAGAAAGACAAC